UCGAGAAUUUUUCACAAUGGGCGCAAGCCUGAUGGAGCGACGCCGCGUGGGGGAUGAAGGGCUUCGGCUCGUAAACCCCUGUCAUUUGUGACCAAGGUUGCCGGUUGAACAGAUCGGCAGCUUGAUGGUAGCGAAAGAGGAAGGGACGGCUAACUCUGUGCCAGCAGCCGCGGUAAUACAGAGGUCCCAAGCGUUGUUCGGAUUCACUGGGCGUAAAGGGUGCGUAGGUGGUCGGGUAAGUCUGAUGUGAAAUCUCCGAGCUUAACUCGGAAACGGCAUCGGAAACUACCUGGCUCGAGGAUUGGAGGGGAGACUGGAAUUCUCGGUGUAGCAGUGAAAUGCGUAGAUAUCGAGAGGAACACCGGUGGCGAAGGCGAGUCUCUGGACAAUUCCUGACACUGAGGCACGAAAGCUAGGGGAGCAAACAGGAUUAGAUACCCUGGUAGUCCUAGCUGUAAACGGUGCACGUUUGCUGUAAUCGGAAUCGA
rnacentral:rRNA from 1 species